rnacentral:tRNA from 1 species
AUUAAUCUAGUUUACAAGAAUAUUAAGUUGUGGUCUUAAAGGUGAGUAUUAAUUACUCGAUUAAUC